rnacentral:lncRNA from 1 species
AAGCAGAUUGGAGAUUUCUCUCUCCCUCUCUCUCACCUGCCCUCGCUCCUCUCUCUAGCCCUCCUUCUCUCUACCUUUCAUAUAAAUUAAAUUACUAAAACAAUUGUAAAAUGAAAUGAUAGAUGACUAAAAUAAGAAAGUAAAAGUGUAAGAAAAAUGCAAAUACCAGUUAAUUUUGACGGUUUAUUGUGGUAUUCACUAACUUAGCUUAGGCCUGAAAGGAGACUUGAAAUUAUUUCUCUAACUGGACAAUUUCCACCCUUAAUUUAUUCAUCGAUAUGUAUUUAUGUGAACCUGUGUUCUCAUCUGAAGAGAUGCUAAGUUUUAGCCUUGAUUUUUGUUCUUAGUCUAGAGUACAAUUAUGGUUUCUAAAAUAUUAAAUUGUGUGCCUCUCCUGUGAUUGAACUCACCACAGAUCAAGAAAUAAACAUGCGGCUUAGGAAGUUUCCCCAAAGUUGCUCUUUGAGUGAAGAGUGAGAAGCCAGAAUUUACGACAGUCAUUGAAAGCGAGGCUGAGACACCAUUCAUCUGUGUUAGUCACCACCGGGAACCGUGAAAAGGGCUCUUUUAGCGAGAUCAAUGAGCAAGCAUCAAGAAGGGGUGAUAAAAGACGAACAGCACAGAGAAGAGAGCGCAUCCUUUGUUAGGCAUGCUGAUGUCAUUGCUUUGCAGAGGAUGAGGAGCUGGGGCUGGUUCCCUGUGCCCCUCUAUCCGCGGUAUCGGGAGGCACUGAACCUGCCCACAGUAUACUCCAUACUAAGCUCCGUAAUGACAAGCAGCUUCUGAUAAUACUGACUGGUUGGUGAGUCUAUGCUUUGAGACCAAAACAUACUCCGUGGGGGAAAAUGGGACCGCCUAGGAACUAGGUCAUACCCUGUGACUUCUCCGCAUUGGCACAUGGCUUUCAGUCACUCAGAGUCGUUUCAGAAAAGUGCACAAGAAUCAACAAUAUCCUUCUCUGCUUGCCUUGGCGAAGUAAGAAAAGAUAAAGAACAUGUUUUGCGAGAAAGCAGUCUUUCAGUACAAUAAUUUGUGUUUUAUGUCAUAUUACAGUGGUGAGUGUAAAUUUAUCUUUGAACCAUGUUUUAUUAACUUUUUCCCCCAUAGAGUUACAUCAAAAGAUUCUAUAAAUAAAUGAUGUGCUCAGCCUGCUAGUUCUUACA